UGGGGAAUCUUGCGCAAUGGGCGCAAGCCUGAUCCAGCAAUGCCGCGUGUGUGAAGAAGGCCUUCGGGUUGUAAAGCACUUUAGGCCGGGAAGAAAAAACAGAAUCUAAUAGGUUCUGUCUUGACGGUACCGGAAGAAUAAGCGACGGCUAACUCUGUGCCAGCAGCCGCGGUAAUACAGAGGUCGCAAGCGUUAAUCGGAUUUACUGGGCGUAAAGCGUGUGUAGGUGGUUGUGCAAGUCGGUUGUGAAAUCCCCGGGCUCAACCUGGGAACUGCUUCCGAGACUGUGCGACUAGAGAUCGGUAGAGGGCGGUGGAAUUUCCGGUGUAGCGGUGAAAUGCGUAGAUAUCGGAAGGAACACCAAUGGCGAAGGCAGCCGCCUGGGCCUGAUCUGACACUGAGACACGAAAGCGUGGGGAUCAAACAG
rnacentral:rRNA from 1 species